rnacentral:rRNA from 1 species
GAUCCUGGCUCAGGAUGAACGCUGGCGGCGUGCUUAACACAUGCAAGUCGAGCGAUGAAGUUUCCUUCGGGAAACGGAUUAGCGGCGGACGGGUGAGUAACACGUGGGUAACCUGCCUCAUAGAGUGGAAUAGCCUUCCGAAAGGAAGAUUAAUACCGCAUAAUGUUGAAAGAUGGCAUCAUCAUUUAACCAAAGGAGCAAUCCGCUAUGAGAUGGACCCGCGGCGCAUUAG